rnacentral:rRNA from 1 species
AUUGAACGCUGGCGGCAUGCCUUACACAUGCAAGUCGAACGGCAGCACGGGAGCAAUCCUGGUGGCGAGUGGCGAACGGGUGAGUAAUAUAUCGGAACGUGCCCAGUCGUGGGGAUAACGUAGCGAAAGCUACGCUAAUACCGCAUACGAUCUAUGGAUGAAAGCGGGGGAUCGCAAGACCUCGCGCGAUUGGAGCGGCCGAUAUCAGAUUAGGUAGUUGGUGAGGUAAAGGCUCACCAAGCCGACGAUCUGUAGCUGGUCUGAGAGGACGACCAGCCACACUGGGACUGAGACACGGCCCAGACUCCUACGGGAGGCAGCAGUGGGGAAUUUUGGACAAUGGGCGCAAGCCUGAUCCAGCAAUGCCGCGUGCAGAAUGAAGGCCUUCGGUUGUAAC